UACGUAGGGAGCGAGCGUUGUCCGGAUUCAUUGGGCGUAAAGAGCUCGUAGGCGGCUUGGCAAGUCGGGUGUGAAAACUCCAGGCUCAACCUGGAGACGCCACCCGAUACUGCCAUGGCUAGAGUCCGGUAGGGGACCACGGAAUUCCUGGUGUAGCGGUGAAAUGCGCAGAUAUCGGGAGGAACACCGGUGGCGAAGGCGGUUCUCUGGGCCUUACCUGACGCUGAGGAGCGAAAGCGUGGGGAGCGAACAGG
rnacentral:rRNA from 1 species